GGUUGGGUUGAGACACAUUCAGGAGCUGAGUGAUUGACAGCAAGAGGAGCAAGACAUGAGGUUAAUAAUUAUCAAAUAUAUGGCAAUGCUGGACUUUAGCUGAUGAUCGUGCUUCUGGAAAACAACAAAAAUUGAGAUAUCUUUUCACCACUUUGUGUGUCCAAGGACCACCUACUUUUUACAUGUGACAAGAACUACCCACCUCCACUCUUCAGGAUAGAACAUGCUGAAGAAAAGAGUUGCAAUGAGAAAAUAUAUGGGAACAAAAUACCUGUGCAAUGCAGAGGUCUGCAUAACUGAACCACUCAGAGGAAAAAAAUUGCCAUUUCAGGACACCUCCUACAUCUGAAGAAAUAUGCAUUGAUCUUGCAGAACUUUUCUCCUCCAAAUAAAAGUCAGUAUGAUAACAA
rnacentral:lncRNA from 1 species